rnacentral:rRNA from 1 species
ACCCGACUGCUAUCGGAUUGAGAUUUAGCCAUGCGAGUCGAACGUCCCCCUGUUGCGGGGGGCGUGGCGUACGGCUCAGUAACACGUAGUCAACCUGCCCUCGAGACGUGGACAACCCCGGGAAACUGGGAUUAAUUCCAUGAUGGGCCAUCUCAUCUGGAAGGAGAGAUGACUUAAAGGGGUGUGCGAGCUUCUUUCGUGCAUCUGCUCGAGGAUGGGACUGCGUCCGAUCAGGCUGUUGGCGGGGUAAUGGCCCACCAAACCUGUUACCGGUACGGGCCUUGAGAGAGGGGGCCCGGAGAUGGACACUGAGAGAAGGGUCCAGGUCCUACGGGGCGCAGCAGGCGCGAAACCUUCGCAAUGCGCGAAAGCGUGACGAGGUUAAUCCGAGUGGUCCCCGCCGAGGGGAUCUUUUGCCGGCUGUAAAAAGGCCGGUGAAUAAGGGGAGGGCAAGUCUGGUGUCAGCCGCCGCGGUAAUACCAGCUCCUCGAGUGGUCGGGGCGAUUAUUGGGCCUAAAGCAUCCGUAGCCUGUUCUGUAGGUCUUCUGUUAAAUCCAACAGCUUAACUGUUGACCUGCAGAGGAUACCGCGGGACUAGGAGGCGGGAGAGGCGGACGGUACUCCGCGUGUAGGGGUAAAAUCCUUUGAUCCGCGGAAGACCACCAGUGGCGAAAGGCGGUUCGCCAGAACGCGCUCGACGGUGAGGGAUGAAAGCUGGGGGAGCGAACCGGAUUAGGUACCCGGGUAGUCCCAGCCGUAACGAUGCUGGCUAGAUGAUUCAUUCGCAAGUCGCGAAUGAAGUGUCGCAGGAAGCCGUUAAGCUAGCCGCCUGGGGAGUACGGUCGCGAGACUGAAACUUAA